rnacentral:misc_RNA from 1 species
UUUGUUGAUCUGGAUCAGCUAAUCAAAGCCUCAUCCCGCCAGCGCCCGCCGCUUGUUGAUCUGGAUCAAUAGCGCCCCUGCCGCCCCUGUUAAUUUGAAGCCAUACCCACACAGGCUUCACAGCAGGAGGCAACCAUGUUUAUCGAUGUCGUAGUUCUCGCCGGUAUCGGCACCGUCGGUCUGAUGGUCGCCUUCUUCGCCGGUGUCGGUUAUUUCAUCUGGCAGGAUUCGCACAAGCGCAAGCAGGGCUGAUUCUGCUGUCAGGGGCACGCAAGGCAAUUUGGGCGACUUCGGUCGCCCUUU